UACGUAGGGGGCUAGCGUUGUCCGGAAUCAUUGGGCGUAAAGCGCGCGUAGGCGGCCCAGUAAGUCCGUUGUAAAAGUCAAAGGCUCAACCUUUGAAUGUCAGUGGAUACUGCCGGGCUAGAGUCCGGAAGAGGCGAGUGGAACUCCUGGUGUAGCGGUGGAAUGCGCAGAUAUCAGGAAGAACACCAACGGCGAAGGCAGCUCGCUAGGACGGUACUGACGCUGAGACGCGAAAGCGUGGGGAGCGAACAGG
rnacentral:rRNA from 1 species